GGUAAACAGCUUAUGCGCCUUAAGCAGAAUUGGAAGUAACGUCUUUCCGGUUUCUGGUUUCCGUUCUCCGGUUUCUAGAGUGGCAGACGAGGUAGUAACACGUAGGUAGAUCCCCCGAAGUCGGGCAUAGCCAGCCGAAAGGUUGGGUAAUUCCCGAUAGUCCCCGUGAGAUAAGAGUUUCGGAUAGAGAAAUUAUAGUUGCGAAGUCAGCAAACUUUCGUAAUUUGUUUCAAUAUCGGGAGUUGUUAUCUCACGGGGUAAAGGUUUUUCGCUUCGGGAGUUGCCUGCGUAGUAUCAGCUAGUUGGUAGGGUAACGGCCUACCAAGGCUACGACGCUUAGGGGAGCUGAGAGGCUGACCCCCACCGAU
rnacentral:ncRNA from 1 species